rnacentral:rRNA from 1 species
UUAAAUUGAAGAGUUUGAUCAUGGCUCAGAUUGAACGCUGGCGGCAGGCCUAACACAUGCAAGUCGAACGGUAACAGGAAUCAGCUUGCUGAUUCGCUGACGAGUGGCGGACGGGUGAGUAAUGUCUGGGAAACUGCCUGAUGGAGGGGGAUAACUAC